rnacentral:rRNA from 1 species
GACGAACGCUGGCGGCGUGCUUAACACAUGCAAGUCGAGGGGAAACGAUAUUGGAAGCUUGCUUCCGAUAGGCGUCGACCGGCGCACGGGUGAGUAACGCGUAUCCAACCUGCCCACCACUUGGGGAUAACCUUGCGAAAGUAAGACUAAUACCCAAUGACGUCCAUAGAAGACAUCUGAAAUGGAUUAAAGAUUUAUCGGUGAUGGAUGGGGAUGCGUCUGAUUAGCUUGUUGGCGGGGUAACGGCCCACCAAGGCGACGAUCAGUAGGGGUUCUGAGAGGAAGGUCCCCCACAUUGGAACUGAGACACGGUCCAAACUCCUACGGGAGGCAGCAGUGAGGAAUAUUGGUCAAUGGGCGAGAGCCUGAACCAGCCAAGUAGCGUGCAGGAUGACGGCCCUAUGGGUUGUAAACUGCUUUUAUAAGGGAAUAAAGUGAGUCUCGUGAGGCUUUUUGCAUGUACCUUAUGAAUAAGGACCGGCUAAUUCCGUGCCAGCAGCCGCCGUAA